GACGAACGCUGGCGGCGUGCCUAAUACAUGCAAGUAGAACGCUGAAGAGAGGAGCUUGCUCUUCUUGGAUGAGUUGCGAACGGGUGAGUAACGCGUAGGUAACCUGCCUUGUAGCGGGGGAUAACUAUUGGAAACGAUAGCUAAUACCGCAUAACAAUGGAUGACACAUGUCAUUUAUUUGAAAGGGGCAAUUGCUCCACUACAAGAUGGACCUGCGUUGUAUUAGCUAGUAGGUGAGGUAAUGGCUCACCUAGGCGACGAUACAUAGCCGACCUGAGAGGGCGAUCGGCCACACUGGGACUGAGACACGGCCCAGACUCCUACGGGAGGCAGCAGUAGGGAAUCUUCGGCAAUGGGGGCAACCCUGACCGAGCAACGCCGCGUGAGUGAAGAAGGUUUUCGGAUCGUAAAGCUCUGUUGUAAGUCAAGAACGGGUGUGAGAGUGGAAAGUUCACACUGUGACGGUAGCUUACCAGAAAGGGACGGCUAACUACGUGCCAGCAGCCGCGGUAAUACGUAGGUCCCGAGCGUUGUCCGGAUUUAUUGGGCGUAAAGCGAGCGCAGGCGGUUUGAUAAGUCUGAAGUUAAAGGCUGUGGCUCAACCAUAGUUCGCUUUGGAAACUGUCAAACUUGAGUGCAGAAGGGGGGAGUGGAAUUCCAUGUGUAGCGGUGAAAUGCGUAGAUAUAUGGAGGAACACCGGUGGCGAAAGCGGCUCUCUGGUCUGUAACUGACGCUGAGGCUCGAAAGCGUGGGGAGCGAACAGGAUUAGAUACCCUGGUAGUCCACGCCGUAAACGAUGAGUGCUAGGUGUUGGAUCCUUUCCGGGAUUCAGUGCCGCAGCUAACGCAUUAAGCACUCCGCCUGGGGAGUACGACCGCAAGGUUGAAACUCAAAGGAAUUGACGGGGGCCCGCACAAGCGGUGGAGCAUGUGGUUUAAUUCGAAGCAACGCGAAGAACCUUACCAGGUCUUGACAUCCCGAUGCUAUUUCUAGAGAUAGAAAGUUACUUCGGUACAUCGGUGACAGGUGGUGCAUGGUUGUCGUCAGCUCGUGUCGUGAGAUGUUGGGUUAAGUCCCGCAACGAGCGCAACCCCUAUUGUUAGUUGCCAUCAUUCAGUUGGGCACUCUAGCGAGACUGCCGGUAAUAAACCGGAGGAAGGUGGGGAUGACGUCAAAUCAUCAUGCCCCUUAUGACCUGGGCUACACACGUGCUACAAUGGUUGGUACAACGAGUUGCGAGUCGGUGACGGCGAGCUAAUCUCUUAAAGCCAAUCUCAGUUCGGAUUGUAGGCUGCAACUCGCCUACAUGAAGUCGGAAUCGCUAGUAAUCGCGGAUCAGCACGCCGCGGUGAAUACGUUCCCGGGCCU
rnacentral:rRNA from 1 species